UCAGAUGGAACUGCCGGUGACAAACCGGAGGAAGGUGGGGACGACGUCAAGUCAUCAUGGCCCUUACUGUCCUGGGCUACACACGUGCUACAAUGGCCGGUACAGAGCGCAGCGAAGCCGCGAGGCAAAGCGAAUCGCAAAAAGACCGGUCUCAGUACGGAUUGGAGUCUGAAACUCGACUCCAUGAAGUUGGAAUCGCUAGUAAUCGCGCAUCAGCAUGGCGCGGUGAAUACGUUCCCGGGCCUU
rnacentral:rRNA from 1 species